rnacentral:rRNA from 1 species
AUGCAGCUCACCCUUCGUUCGACGAUCAUGGCAUCCCACCACCCCCGACAAAGUGGAAAGGCUCGUGCAGGGAGGUCAGGUGCAACAACAAGCUCAUCGGUGCCAAGUCAUUCAUUACCGGUGAUGACCGCCCAUUUGAUUUUGUGGGGCACGGAACACACACCUCAUCCACUACCGCUGGGAACUUUGUUACCAAUGUGUCAUACCAUGGCGUAG